UCCUCCUCCUCCUCCUCCUUCUCUCUCUUCAGGAGUCAGACAAAGUUAAUGCUGCUGACUUUAAGAUCAAAGCAUACUUAGAUACAACUGAACAGCACUAGGGGUGAUGUUGCUUCUGUGGCCACUGUGAUGGACUCUCAUCUGGCUCCUCGCUCCUCCCCACUAUGUAUCCACUGGUAAUGAGGCUUGACCAGUGAAACCUCAGAUGCCUCCCAUAUGCCCCUUACCUCUUGCCACCCUGACCCUUCCUCACGGGCAAUUAAUUACCAGCUAUGACUAGUUCAGUGCAGUCUUUUUCAGCAGUACUUUUGGGCCACAGGAAAUAUAGCUCACCGGGCCCUACCCAUCAGCCACAAAGUGCUGUUAUUGUCACUGCUUGCAAAGUACCAGUUAGUCAUCUUCAACAGCCCCACACAAGUCUCUGCCCCACACGUGUAGUACAAGUGAUUACAUCACCUGGCCUAAACCACCCAGACAGCUCCCACCCCUUAUUACAGCCUAAUUCUUUGGCAACUGAGGCAGAGCAAUCCUGUAUUAUUAUGGCUAGCAAUGUUAGCAAAGAGGCAUUAACCAUGGUUUCUCAGAAUACGUUUGGAGAAAGCUCCAAACUUGCACAUACACCAUAGGGCACAUUACAGGACCAGGAAACACAGACUUAGGAGAAGGGGUGGGUAGUAAGGGCUCAUCAUGAAUUUGCCAUCUUCUCUGGAAACCUGUUGCCUUGGGAUUCAUAUCAUGCUCAAAGCAGCAUUUGAGAAACUUCUGUGUUCUAUAUAAGGGGAUACAAGGGAUUGUCCUAAAAUAUAGGCGAUGGUAGGAUGCUGUUCUAGUUAGCUUGGCUGUUGACUUGACACGAAUGUAGUGUCACCUGGGAUAAGAGAACUUCAGUUGAAAACUGCCCAGAUCACACUGGCUAGUGGCCUUAUCUUCAGAAUUCUGAUUGAUGUAGGAGGGCCCAGACCACCAUGGGCGGCACCACUCUUAGGCACAAAAACUUAAACCGUAUAAGAAAAGCUGCUGAACAAGCCAGAGGAAGCAAGCAAGUAAUCAGAGUUCCUCUGUGGUCUCUGCUCCAGUUUCCAUUCUAGAACUCUUCCAUGGCAUCUCUCAGGGACAGACGGACUAUAAGCUGCGAGCUGAAAUAAGUCCUUUCCUCCCCAAGUUGUUUUUGGUCAUGGUACUUAUCACAACAGAGAGCCAACUGGAAGGGUGCAUGCAUAGUGACAUACCUCUAAAAACCUAUUGCAGGGACACCUAGAGUACCAGAUGACAACAGAAAAGGGAACUUAUUGGGGCUGGGUCUUGGAGCAAGUAGGUUCAGGACUCUGGCCCACAGCCUUGCUCCCAAGCGCUUCUCACCUUCUCAGAUACCUCUGCAGCUUACAGUGUUUUUAUCAAUCGGUGGAGAUUCUCAGCAACUCUUCACUAUGGGCACUUUCUGCAGUUUCCAGCCUAUCUUCUGGCCUUGCUUCUGGAAUGUUCUCUCACUGAGUUGUAUUUUUCCCUCCGAUUGCUACUAAUAGAAGGCCGUACUUAGUCACCAACAAAGGAGUCACUGUCUGUGCCAGGUAGAGGCAGAAAACAGGAAAACUCAGAUGUCCCCGAGCUGCGAGGACUUAGCCCUGCACCAGGAGAAGUGCGUUCUCUUUCAGACCUCCUUCAUUUAGAGAAAGUUGCAGUUUGACACUGUGUCCCUCCUAGGCCCAGCACCUGAUAACACCUAUUCUUUUAUUUAUUUCUCAUGUGUCUAUGUCUGGGGUGCAUGCGGGUGCGUGCACCUUCACGUGUUUGUGGUGCAUGUGACAUCAGCGGUCCUGCCUGGUGGCUCUCAACCUUACUCAUUUAGGCAGGCUCUCUCAAUGUGUGCCUCACAGAGCUUGCCAACGUGGGUUGGGCUAGCCAGUCAGCUUCUUCUAGGAUGCCCUGCCUCUAGCUUCUGAGAAGAACUACAGAUGGGUGCCAUGCUCCCUGGCAUGUCCCUGCGUUCUGUUUGAUUAAAGCUCCUGCCUCUAUACUUCAUAACAAGAAUCUUACCUGUAGAGCCAUGUCCCUACUGGCUCUUAACCCUGACAAUGCAGAAUUCAUUCUGGGAAGCCCAGGGAGUAAGAGUGUGUUUAGCGGGGCUUUCGCAGAGCAGUUAUAUUUGCUGAAUUAAAUGGGGGAAUUGCCUUCUGUGCCAUCGAAAGACACUGAGUUGGAUCUGCAGCAGUUACCUGAAGUGUAUGCUUAGUGAAGUCUAAAAAAAGGAAAAAAAAGUCAUGUAUUUAAGGAACAAGAAAUAAGACUUAUGGUUCAGAGGGAGGCAAAGUAUGAAAAUAUAUUUGGUAUGGUUUAAAUAUGUAAUGUUCCCCCCACACUCUCAUGGGCUUCACCUUGGUCCCCAGGUGGUGGUGCUGUUCGGGAAGGACAUGGACCUUUGGGGUUGACAUAGAGCAUCACUGUAGGGCCUGGUCUCUCGUCUAGCCCCAGAGACUCUGCGUCUUCAUCCACCAAGACGCCAUGAAUGCUGUCGUGCCUUCUCUACCAUGACCAGACCACUCCCUUACGUUGGAGGCCCAAAGAAGUCCUUCCUUCCUGAAGUUGCUUCUGGUCACAAGAACAGGCAGAGUGAGAACCAAAUGUGUUGUAGACAUUUCCAGAAUGGAAAAAAAAAUUUUACUGAGCACAUAUACAUCCCAGCACUCGAGAAACAUCUCUCAAGAGUCAAGUCUUACAGCAAUGCUGGGUUUAAUUCUGGGAUAUUCAGCUUCCUGAGAUCUGGGGCUCAGAAUUCAGGAUGAGUAAGGACAUGAACAGAUAACAGACUUUAGGAUGAGUAAGGACAUGAACAGGUUGGCAGGGCUCAACCUCUGACCCCACAAGAGCUCUUUUUUAUUUAUCUUUUAUUAUUAUCCCUAGUGACUAUCAGAAUUACCUGGGCACUUUAAUCACCAUCACCAUUAUCACCAUUAUCACCAUCACCACCAUCUAAAGAUAGAGAAGUCCAGGCCACACCCCAGACCUAAUACAUGAGAUCUAGAGCACGCCCAGAAGAUCGUUAAGAUUGAAAAGUUCCCAGGCAGUUCCAACUGAGUGCCAAGGCAUGAGUACCUGUCCCAUCCAGGAGCAGAGCUGCAUAAGAGGGACAUCAUGUGUGGAAGGUUCUUCAGUAAAAGGUAGAAGGCAUCUGGUCGAGGGUGGGUUGCCAGGUCUUCCAGGCAGACCCUCAGGAAGCGUGCAAACACCCUGUCAGGCCCAUCAUAGCAAAGGGAUGCUUUGAUGGCCUCCUCCCUCUGACUCUCUCACUGCCAGGUUCCAACCCAGUGCAGUAACCAUUUGCCAAGAGCCUACUUUACCCGGGAUCUGCUGCUUCUGGGCAUGGGGGUGGCUUGGGAGACCUAGUUUUGCCACCAUGCCCCCUGCAUAGGCUUCUGCACCCAUUCUCCCCGCCCCCAGCAAAGCUCUUCCUUGUCCAACACCCUGUGCCUGUCCCCUCUAAACCAAGAGGUGUCGCUUCUUUUGGACCUCACCCUUGCCCUGUUCCACUUCAUGCCUUCCUCAUCGUUUAUCCUCUGUUUUCUGUGGCUGAAAAUGGGCUUGAAUCACCAGUGAUCUCAAACAUGGUCCAGUCAUGCUGCAAGGGAGAAAAAAUAAGUGGUACCACGUUUAAACAGUUGUUUAGGCAUGUCAGCAAGGAAAGACACACUCUGCACACUUUAGGCAGGUUGACAUGGUCCCCAAGCCAACUGUGGUCUACUGUAUCUCUGUAAUGGAUGCCACCCUGUCACCACUGUCUCCCUUUCUUCUCUCACAGGCUUCCUUUAAGUACCACCUCUUCCAGAAAGCCUUCCCAAAUGGAUAGCCCAGGAUUCAAGCUUUUUUCUCUCAUAUAAAUAUGUGCCAGAGAAGACCGACUUCUGUUUGGAUAUCAAGUUGGUUGCUGGGAGCUGGUGACAGUGUUUUUGUUGCUGAUGCUGAGGAAUCGAGACCAAGGCCCUGGCGCACUCAGCCAUUGCUGGAGUUCAUUAGCCACAGAGAGACACUAAGUGGCUGUAAGGAUCAGGGCAGCUUGGCAGCCAUGUGACGGGCAGCCUUAUAAGUCCCAGGUACCAGUGUCGUUUAUACGACGUCAAGUGUGCUUUAAGCUGCACACUCCCAGGACUCAUUAGAACUGUGUGCCCAGUGGUGCCCCUCAACACCUCGGAGCAAAUAGAGAAUGAUAUAAUUCUCUCUGAGAACACCUCUCUGUCUUAUCUGCAGCAUGUCUUAUCUAUUAUGAUUAGGGCAUUAAGCUCCCAUCGGCCUUAACAUUUCAUGAGAUUCUACCCCACUGCUUGCCGGGAUUAUGUCAAGGUGUCUUGUCCUGGAUACCGUUUUCACCCAAUAAUACAGCUUGUCUCUUCUCCUUAGGCAGAGUUGGGCCACCAGCGAGGCCCAGCAAUCCAGCUUAAGGUGAGUGAGCACUUGGAAGGCUGCCCUAAACCCUCUUCCUAUAAGGCCCGUGUCUUGGUCUUGUUUCCCCCAAAAGAAAGGUUUGGGAAGCCAGAACUAAAGAUUUCCUUGCAAACAGCAUGGUUGAGAAAUGUUGAUAGAGAGCUGUCUCCAGGAAGGGAGAAAGGAAAGAGGGAAAAAAGGGGGGUGGGGGGGGGGCUUACAAUGCAGAGGAGACAGAAAUCAGGGUCUUGGAGAAGAACUGGAUGAACUGGGAGGCAGUAUGGACCACAACUUUCCCGUAGUCCCUCUGGAGGACAGGAGUGCUGGGGUGUUUAUCAACCCAGUUGUCCAGCUGUGAUGUAGCACUGUUCCAGGUUCACCUUCCACGGGGGUACCAGCCCCGUGGUAGUUAUGCUGAUACCUAAGACAUGAUGGCAUCAUCUGUAGAGGAAUGUCUCCGCCUGUGAUCCUCAAGAGGGCUGUGACAGAAUGGAGGCCAGUGACUAGAGCAAUCCUACCUGUCAGCCUUAGGCCAGGCACGUGGUGAGCCUUCAGUAAACAUCUGACAGUCACCUGCCUGGUCAAACUUCUGCCAUACCUAUGCUGGCUACAAUCUUGUUCAGAGUUGGCCUUUAUAAUAAAGUACUUAUCCCCUGCUUCUAAGUACAUUCUUGUAUCUAGUUGGCCUCUUUUCUGCCCUCACACUUGCCCACUCUGAGACCUCCCUCCUCUCUGCAUCUGCACCCACGUGACCGUGGAACAGAGCUCUUUAGGACUGUGACUUCCGCUUUGGAAGAAAAUAAGGCAUGCACCCUGACACUUAUAUGGAAGUCCUUAAGCAUGGGGAUGGGUGAGGAAUGUCCAAAAUUAGUACUGCCCCCACAUAUCCCAGGACACGGGAUCACUGGGAGUUCAGAUUUAAACACACUUGGCUACUUAUACUUGGGCAUUGUUGUUUAAAGUGGGGGAAGGGAGUGAUUAGAAUCGUCCUGUGUGAAAUGUGAUAAUUAUACCAUUGGGUUGUUAAGAGAUUAGGGAGGAUCCUGGGAGCAAAUGUAGACUGCUGGUACAGCGGAAGCAAUCCUGCAUCCUGCGCCUUUUGAUCGACUUGCAGGGAAUCUCUUGAUUUUAGCUUGAAACCCGGGGCUUCCUGUAUGCUAGGCAAGCCCUUUCCCACAGAAGGCUCUCUCUGCACUUGUUGAUAGUUCCUUGUUGGUAGAGUACCUGGCUUAUCUACAUGAGGUCCACUCUACCAUACUGGGAGAUAAACUCACUUCAGCUACAUCUUCAGUCUGCAAAGUUAAAUCCCAGAAGGUGAGAGGCUCAUGAGGACUGGCCCUGGCGAUGGAGUGUGCCAAUUCAGGCACCAGAGGAGGACUGUCCUGGGGGCUCCAUCCGUCUGUCCAUCCAGAAAGCAUUCUCAGUAUCCAGUACUGUUUGUCAGGCCGAGUCACCUGCUGAGGACACAGCAUGUCACAGGAACCUGCCUGGCCUUUGAGGAACCUGACAACCAGAUGCAGGACAGGACAGUGAUAGGAGUGACCUCAUAACCAUGGCGACAGUUAUGAGUGACAUUUAUUAAGCACAUGGCAAUAAGUACAGUUUCCAUUGCUUAAGCAUAAACAUAUAAUCAGCUUUAGAGAGGAUUUGACCAGGCUCAGUGCUACUGUGGUCUCCAUUUCCUCCUCUGAAGGAAACCGAGUCAUGGAAAGAUUGGACGACAUAGCCAAGUUCACAGAGAUAACAAAUGUUGAAGCCUGAGUUUCCAGGGCUGGGGUGUAUCUCAGUGGACAGAAUGCUGGGCUACCAUGUGAGAAGCCCUGGCUUUGAUCCCUAGCACUAUAUAAACCAGGUAGAGUGGCACAGGCUUGGAAUCCCAGCACUACAGAGGUGCAGGCAGGAAGAUUACAGGUCUCCUGGGCUAGGAGUUUAAGGCUAGCCUAAUCUACUUAAGACCUUGUCUUAAAACAAACAAACAAACAAAGAAAGAAAAACAACAAAAACAAAAACGAAUCAGAAGCAGCCUGGAUUCAAACUCUCCUGGUGUGUGAGCCCGUGACCUCAAGCAUGACAAAUCCGUGGUAAUGUCAUGUCCCCCACAGGUCCUUUGUCGCCCGAUGCUCUGCUUAUGUUCAACGCCUCAUUCUCUCCUAGGCCUUUGAAGAGACUCCUGGAACCAACCCCAGAGCUGCUGUUUGAUUUUGUGGACCUGGGUUGGGGGUCAGGGAACUGUGAGUUUCCAACCAGCCCCUUGGUGACACUCAAAGCUCUAGGCCAGGAGACUGCACUUGGUAGUUUGCAGUGAGGGCACAGAAGACUUUGGGUACCUGGGGGCCUUGCAGUCUCAUUACCUCACAGGCAGCACCUAGUGGGUGGAGACCGCAAGAGCUGUUGAGUAAGACACAGCAACCCCUGCCCCACAAGAGGUUGACCUGCUCACAUGCUGAGAGGCUGAUGAGAGGCUGAGGUGAGGAUGGCUGGCGGUGCUGAAUUCCGUCUGUAUAGCAGAGUAUGCAUGAACGCCAUCAGGCUCUGCUUUAAAAUGCUGCGUCGAGCUACCUGGUAGUUCAAGGAAUUAGGAGGAGCUACUCAGGAAGCUGAGGCAGGGGCAUUAGGAGUUCAAGGCUAGCCUGUAAAACGGAGUGAGACUAUGUCUCAAAAUAAAAGGUGCAAGACAGCUGGGGGUCCUGAUCAGUGACAGUCACAUGACAAACACAUUGGGGUCCUGGGUUCAAUCCCCAGUAUAGCAUUAAUAUAAUGAAAUAUAAAAUGGCUUGGGUGUAAGAAGGGCCAGAACCUGUCUGAAUGGCUGCACCUCUAACAAACUCUGAGAGUGGCUUUUGGCAGAGCUGGGGACCACACCUUGGCUACCAAAAGUGAGAGUUCGGCCCCGCAUAGGUGGAGGGUUUGAAAUAAGUUCACUGAGGACGCGACGGAGCACCAUCGGCAGUUUAGCAGCGCUGCUCGCUCUAGCAUUAAGUAUCGCAGCCCAGGCAAUCUUCUUUCAACUCCCGGUGCCUGCCUCUCCCUAACAGCUGCAGUGAACGGUCGAGGCUGAGGAAGGGCAGAGCUUGGGUAGAACUGCCCCAGCUUCAGUCCUUAAGCAUCGGGCUGGCCUAUUGUUGCCUGUCCUCAUGGCUUCCUCCCAAGAGCUGCUCCUUGACACGGGUUUUACAUCUGCCUGACGUGUAGGUCUGCAAACUCUAAAUGAGAGAGCGGCUGCUUUGAAAACCGUUGCUCUCUUGGGAACAGGCGAUGGGAGAAGAUGGACUCUGUGCGCUCGGCCCUCCAGAGAUGGCACCCAGCCCCUGUGAUAAAUGACGGCAUUAACAAGGUUUGGUUGAGAGGGGACCUACAGAUUUACGACUUCCUGUGUCGGCCAGCAGAUGUCAUUAUGGCUGACAGAACAGGAGCCCUUUCAAGAGCUAGCCCUGGUGGAGCUAAGGGGAGGGGAAAAAAUUCCAAAAGGCGGAAGCUUAAACUACUGUUCACUCAGGGGGGCUGGUGUCAUUUGGGGGACACAGAAUUGCAACGGGAAAUCGGAAAGCCUGCAAAAUGUCUGAAGCCGUGUUGCUGAGGUUUAGGCACAAACCCUCAAAUAAAAGAUGGCGUGGCUGGCUUUUCUCAACUAAGAAACCCUUUCGAGUUCUGUCACCAGCCCUGCACUUGUAUGCCCAAAUGUUCUCUGAGAUAAAAAAAUGAGCCCUGCGCUGAACAAACAGAUAUUUCACUCUGAAACAUCAAUUGGACAAGCCUUUAAAUAUGAGCACUUUACGAAUUCAGCAGCCCUUUCCGAACAAACUUUAAUGUGCUUAUAAUUUUAUCCACUUUAUUUUUAGCAUAAUUCUUUAUCGAUUCUUUGUGAAUCGCAUAGAUGCACCCAAUCCCAUUCAUCCCCCAGCCCUUUCAUAUCUGACCACCACCCUUGUAGCCCCUCCCAACAAAAACUGAAAAUUAAUACAAUACAAAACAAAACAAAAUGUCACAGUGGAAGCUGAGGUGUGUCACAAUGUGUCACACAGUGUACCCUUUUGUCCUAGCAGCCUUUCUUCCAAAUGUUUAUUGCAAUGAGUCAUUGGUCUGGUCGAGGCCUCUGGCUUCUGCCACACUAUCAAUCCUGGAUCCUCACCAGGACACCUCUUGGAUAUCUUGUUGUCGCCCUGUGUCAUGGAGGUCCUGCAGCUUCAGCUCUGCAGGACGGGCCCGUUCACGCGUGGCUCGAGGCUGAGGGUUGUCCCCUAACUUUCCUCAUUUUAAACAAUGGUUUCAUAGGAUGAUACUGGUUCUUUACUUGCCAGAAUUCUUGUGUGUUUAGAAUUAAAAGAUGAUACAAAUAUGGCACUCAUCGUAGGCCUCAAGCCUGUGUUGGGAAGGGUCCACUGCUAAUGCACGCUUAGGUGUAAGUGCACAGCCUGUCUCCAAAUUCCUUUCUAAUGUGUGGCCUAAGAUCCACUUUCCAUAGGUACAGCCCCUGCUUGCAGUUCGCUCUCUUGGCCAAAAAACAAUUGAGUGUUUGAGAUCCUUUAGGCUCAGGUUAUCUGUGAUCCAAGACACAGCUCAGAAGAGAUGUCCAUGACUCCAGGGACUGGGCUCUCUGGUCCUGCCAUCAACAAUUCACCCCUCUUCCCACCUCCGUGACUACUGGGGGCUUCGUAUAAAUUAAAAGCCAUGGCAGACUUCCAGGAAGACAGCAAGAGGGUCCUUUUUGCUACCGGUUUCUCAAAGUCCAAAAAAUUAUUUCAAUCCAAUACUGGGCCUAGAAACUUUUUCCAGAGAUUAAGCAAUGGCUAUUAUGUUGAUUUGUGUGUUCUGGUGAACAUCUGAUUUCACUGAGUUUGUUUUAAAUGCUUUUCCUAAAAUCUUGCUGCUGGGAUUAAAUCCAGGGCCUCAUAUGUGUUGGGCAAGCGUGUUACCUCUGGUCUCCUUGCCCAGACUUCAGUGAGAUGUGUAAAGUGUAGCCGAGGUGUGCAGGUGUCACCUCAUGACACCCUUCCCCGACCACUUGAGUAGCAGCAUAGCGGGGUGCUUAUGAGCUGGCUGGAGAUAGUCACCCUAACUUCUGUGCCUGCUUCUUCCUUGCCUGCCUGUGUUUCCCCCAGAAAGGUCCCAGAGCUCUCCAAUGGACCCCUGGUGGAUGUCACCGUCUUCAUGGUUUUUAUCUGUAUAUCAAAUGCUUUGUCUGUGAAGUGACUAGUUGGGGGUCUCAGCACAGGAAUCAGUCCUUAAACCUUGCUACAGUUUGAAUGAACGCCUUGAAAUAUCUUCUGUACCAUCUCACAGAUAAGUAUGCUAGCUUUGUGUCUGAUUCACUGUUCACUUAGCAAAGAAAUACAACAACCAUGACGAUAAUAGUAAUAAUGGGAUCUGCCAUAUACUGAACUCAUACAAAGUUCUAGACACUGCAGAAGGACUGACACGCAAAAACUUACUAAAUAUUUUCUGUACUAAGUUUUGAACCCAGGGCCCCAAACAUGCCAGGCAAGAGUCCUACCUCGGGUCUCCUGCCCCCCCCCCUACUGUUAAUUUUAUGUUGAUGCAGGUCUCUUUAAGCUACCCAGCCUGCUCUUAAACUUAGCAUAGGGAGAUCUAAAAUUUAGGCUCCUCUGACCUUAGUCUCUGGAGCAGCUGGGACUUGCACCGUGUUGCAGCAAAUUCAAAUACGACGUGACUUGACUGGCAAAGUGCUCUGGGUCCUACUUGGUCAGAGUCGCUCAGCAUAGGUGCACAGCAGAAUCGCCCAGGUGUCCCAUUGAAAUGCACUGACUCCCCUUUCCAAUCUCUGACUCUAAAGUUCUGGGCUGAGACCUUCACAUUAACAAGUUCCCAGGUGCUGCUUUGGAUCUAAGGCCACCUUUGAGAGCCACCAAUGUCAGCCACUUGUUUAAGAUGAGAAGGCCUCAAGGUGGAUCUUUAAAAGUAAAACUUUGAAUGUAUUUAGGGGCCGAGGCAAUGGCUCAGUGGCUAAAGUGACUUUCAAGCAUGAAGACUUGAGCUCAGAGCACCGAUGUCAAGGGCAGUGGUCAUGGUCUGGUUGAUAGUGGUAGCAUCUGUGGUCAUGGUAGUAGCUGUGAUCAUGGUAGCAGGUAUGGUCAUGGUAGCAGGUGUGGUCAUGGUAGCAGGUGUGGUCAUGGUAGCAGGUAUGGUCAUGGUAGCAGGUGUGGUCAUGGUAGCAGGUGUGGUCAUGGUAGCAGGUAUGGUCAUGGUAGCAGGUGUGGUCAUGGUAGCAGGUAUGGUCAUGGUAGCAGGUGUGGUCAUGGUAGCAGGUAUGGUCAUGGUAGCAGGUGUGGUCAUGGUAGCAGGUAUGGUCAUGGUAGCAGGUGUGGUCAUGGUAGCAGGUGUGGUCAUGGUAGCAGGUGUGGUCAUGGUAGCAGGUGUGGUCAUGGUAGCAGGUAUGGUCAUGGUAGCAGGUGUGGUCAUGGUAGCAGGUGUGGUCAUGGUAGCAGGUAUGGUCAUGGUAGCAGGUGUGGUCGUGGUAGCAGGUGUGGUCAUGGUAGCAGGUGUGGUCGUGGUAGCAGGUGUGGUCAUGGUAGCAGGUGUGGUCAUGGUAGCAGGUAUGGUCGUGGUAGCAGGUGUGGUCGUGGUAGCAGGUGUGGUCAUGGUAGCAGGUGUGGUCAUGGUAGCAGGUAUGGUCGUGGUAGCAGGUGUGGUCGUGGUAGCAGGUGUGGUCAUGGUAGCAGGUAUGGUCAUGGUAGCAGGUGUGGUCGUGGUAGCAGGUGUGGUCAUGGUAGCAGGUGUGGUCGUGGUAGCAGGUGUGGUCAUGGUAGCAGGUGUGGUCAUGGUAGCAGGUAUGGUCGUGGUAGCAGGUGUGGUCGUGGUAGCAGGUGUGGUCAUGGUAGCAGGUAUGGUCAUGGUAGCAGGUAUGGUCAUGGUAGCAGGUGUGGUCAUGGUAGCAGGUAUGGUUGUGGUAGCAGGUGUGGUCGUGGUAGCAGGUGUGGUCAUGGUAGCAGGUAUGGUCGUGGUAGCAGGUGUGGUCGUGGUAGCAGGUGUGGUCAUGGUAGCAGGUGUGGUCAUGGUAACAGGUGUCUGUAGCCCCAGGAACAGGGAAGCAGAGAUGUGGGGGUUCCUUAGACUCACUGGCCAGCUUAUCUAGCCAAAUCUGUGAGUUUCAGGCUCAGUGAGUCACCCUGUCUCAAAAAUUAAACGAAACAGAGAGACCUACCUCUGGCUACACAUGUAGGCAUACAUGGUUAUGUAUGUGUACCUAUACACACUUGUGUGCACACACACCAAAAAUUUAAAUAUAUUUAAAAACACAUGCUGUAAACAAAUGCUUACGCUUCUUCAAAUGUCUCAACAGUAAGCACGAAAAGUUGGUUGUUGUACUCACAACACACGCCAUUGGGGAAGUUCCUUGUUUGCGUUAGAUAUCCUGCUAACUGAUGGUCCCUGUGGCACCAGCCAGCUCAGGGACAUUUUUGGAAGAAGCACAAAGUCCUUAAGUCAUCUAUAUCCUGGUCACUGAUGAGAAGUCAGAAGUGCUAGUGUGGUAUGGAAGGAAAACUAGGGCCUGAUUUUCCUAGCUGGAGGGCACAUGGGUUCCAAGAUGGCGUCCAACUGAGCAAGCCACACCUGGAUGUCACAUGUGCUGGAGAGGCACGGGGUUUCCUUGGUUCCCAACCAGGGAAGAUUCUCAGCAUAUGAGCCCACAGGCAUAGAAGGUUCCAGAGAACUUCCGUUGGAUGCUGCCCACAAAAGUCAUUGGCAACUAAUGGAUGCUAAGAAUCACUGCUGCAAGCUACUGUUUAGACUAGAACCCGGAUAUGUUUUGACCCACCUCGGAGUGUUUGGGCAGAGGAGGAUCUGCGACAUGGCCCUGAGGAGAUGAGAAUGAAGGAAAGGGGCUCAGGGAGAGCCAGGACAGAGCCCACACUUCCAUGGUAGGAAGAGUAAUCCAGCACAGGGUCGUCAUCGAGGUAGAAAUUAAACAACCUGGCACCUAAAUAUCCAUGCAGCCUGAAUUCAGGGAAUGUAAACACAGAAAGACUUGGAAAAAUAAGGAAAACAGGCCAUCCGUGGUCACAGGCAGACAGGGGCAGGUGACUGGGAACCUGCCAUGAUGGACAGACAGGGGAAGGAACACAGGCUGGAUAUGCCUGAGAGUCCAGUGCUACCUCAGCUCAUCUUUGUAAGGAUGUGUUUAUUUGCAUAUCCACCCACGUUCUUAUUGAUUCAACGUGGUUUUUAGUUGAGUGCAUAUAUGAGUCAGGUGUCACCCUAGAUGCUGGGAGUCACAGCAAGGCUCCAACCUCUGUCCUCAGAGAGCAUUCUCUUUAUCGAGUGUGGCGAUAUGUAGAAUAAAACCUGUAAUAUUUUGGGAUACAAGAUACGUAAGAGAGAAAAAAGGAAGGCUGGAAGUAGAUUUGGGUUUUCAGAGGGAAGGGUUGAGAAGUGGUUCUCCUCAAUUCUCCUAGAGAGACUCUAAGGAACAGGCAACCUCUGGCUCAAAGGAAAGGAGAGGAUGUUAAAUUAGCUUAAGGAACAAAGGAACUACUUCGGCUAUGGAUCACUUCUUAAUGCAGGUGCUGAUAGCUUUGACGGCUUCCGCCACACCCCAGAAUUUACUCCAAUUGGUCUUUCCUGACAAACUCAAGAGUUUCACGGGGGCACUGUGAUGUGCUUUCCCAAUUUUCAGCUUGAUGAAAUCUAUUAACGACUUGAGAGAAGAGCCACUGGACCUGCCUGUGAGGGAUUAUCUUAAUUGAGAUGGGAAGACCCACCCUUAUAGACGGCAGCAAUCCCUGGGCUUGGGGUCUGCACUGUGCAAAAAGCAGAAAGUAAGAGGAACACAGCCUGCUUCUCCCUCUGCUUCCUGGUUGCAGCUGCAAAGUGACCAGCUCCUUCCAGAGCCUGUCAUCAUGUCCCAGCAUGAUAGACUGGUUCACCCUGGAACUGAAUCAAAGAAAUUAAGUGGCAUUUGACUGGGCAACUCAUAGCAGCGACAGAAAUGCAGCAAAGACGUGGUGGCCCACGCCUUUAAUCCCAGCACUUUGGAGGCAGA